AUAAAUUAAUGCAUAGUUUUAUAUGUGUGUGUACAGCGAGGCGUAGUUUGCUCUUAGAUAACAGAC